AAAGUCUUAAGGGUGUGUAUUG
rnacentral:miRNA from 1 species